rnacentral:tRNA from 9 species
UGGUGCGGUAGUUCAGUCGGUUAGAAUACCGGCCUGUCACGCCGGGGGUCGCGGGUUCGAGUCCCGUCCGCACCGCCAA